GCAGGUAUAGCUCAGUGGUAAAGUGCGUGCUUAGCAUGCACGAGGUCCUGGGUUCAGUUCCCAGUACCUCCG
rnacentral:tRNA from 1 species